UGGAUCAUUGAUGACCUAAAAAAAAAAAAAAAAAAACAUCUGGGAGUCCUCUGAGACAUCCAUGAUGACCACAACAUUGGGAGUCUGAGGUCCAC
ensembl:snoRNA LOC120093371 small nucleolar RNA SNORD113/SNORD114 family